rnacentral:lncRNA from 1 species
UGGUACUUAAAUUACGUAUUCUAUAUCCAGAAAUGAUAAUUUCAUGAUUCUUUGUUGCAGCAUCAUUGAUAAAAGUAUAACUGACACAGUGACACGCACGGGGAUUGUAGGAAUAUGUGAUUUUGUACAGCAUCGAAAAACAGCAACAACAACAACAAGUCAACAGAUCAGAAAUUGAUAUGCAAAGAAAAUAAGAUUCUGCAAUGGCGCUGUUGUCUGUCGUUUCUAUCCUGAGAAUAUCUGUCAGUUUCAACACGAAGUUUAUGAGAUGCAAGCCUUAAUCGCGCCAAAGCAACACGACAUUUGCUGGGUCCUGUGGAGUUUUGCCAAAGAUUACCAUGUCAUCUGCAAACAACAUCAGUAUAAAGGUAAUUUCAUCUAUAGACAAACCACAUGCAUCUUCGUUUUGCAAAAAUAACUCUAAAUCAUCAAGAAAUAAGGAAAAUAAUACAGAUGACAUAACUUCACCCUGUUUUAGACCAACAGCA